AGAGUGAACGCUGGCGGCAGGCCUAACACAUGCAUGUCGAACGGCAGCACAGAGGAGCUUGCUCCUUGGGUGGCGAGUGGCGGACGGGUGAGGAAUACAUCGGAAUCUGCCUUAUCGUGGGGGAUAACGUAGGGAAACUUACGCUAAUACCGCAUACGACCUACGGGUGAAAGCGGAGGACCUUCGGGCUUCGCGCGAUAAGAUGAGCCGAUGUCGGAUUAGCUAGUUGGCGGGGUAAAGCCCACAAGGCUACGACCCGUAGCUGGUCUGAGAGGAUGAUCAGCCACACUGGAACUGAGACACGGUCCAGACUCCUACGGGAGCAGCAGUGGGGAAUAUUGGACAAGUGGGCGCAAGCCUGAUCCAGCCAGUGCCGCGUGUGUGAAGAAGGCCUUGGUGUAAGCUACUUUGACGGAAGAAAGCAC
rnacentral:rRNA from 1 species